GACGAACGCUGGCGGCGUGCCUAACACAUGCAAGUCGAACGAGGUCCAUGAGAGCUUGCUCUCAGAAGACCUAGUGGCGAAACGGGUGAGUAACAUGUGAGAAACCUGCCUCGGAGUGGGGAAUAACUCGGGGAAACUCGAGCUAAUACCGCAUAUCUUCACAUGAUCGCAUGGUCGAGUGAAGAAAGAAUUUCGCUCUGAGAGGGUCUCGCGGCCUAUCAGCUUGUUGGUGGGGUAACGGCCCACCAAGGCAACGACGGUAGCUGGUUUGAGAGAACGAUCAGCCACACUGGGACUGAGACACGGCCCAGACUCCUACGGAGGCAGCAGUGGGGAAUCUUGCGCAAUGGGCGAAAGCCUGACGCAGCAACGCCGCGUGCGGGAUGACGGCCUUCGUGGUUGUAAACCGCUUUCAGCAGGGACGAAAAUGACGGUACCUGCAGAAGAAGACCCCGGCGUAACU
rnacentral:rRNA from 1 species